CUACGGGGCGCAGCAGUGGGGAAUCUUGCGCAAUGGGCGAAAGCCUGACGCAGCGACGCCGCGUGCGGGACGAAGGCCUUCGGGUCGUAAACCGCUUUCAGCAGGGACGAGGCCGCGAGGUGACGGUACCUGCAGAAGAAGCCCCGGCUAACUACGUGCCAGCAGCCGCGGUAAUACGUAGGGGGCGAGCGUUAUCCGGAUUCAUUGGGCGUAAAGCGCUCGUAGGCGGCCAGUUAGGUCGGGAGUCAAAUCCGGGGGCUCAACCCCCGCCCGCUCCCGAUACCGGCUGGCUUGAGUCUGGUAGGGGAGGGCGGAAUUCCCAGUGUAGCGGUGGAAUGCGCAGAUAUUGGGAAGAACACCGGUGGCGAAGGCGGCCUUCUGGGCCACGACUGACGCUGAGGAGCGAAAGCUGGGGGAGCGAACAGGAUUAGAUACCCUCGUAGUC
rnacentral:rRNA from 1 species